CAUCAUCCUCAUGUUUAUAUUAUGUUGAAAGUCAUCUGUGGCCUAUAGUGCAUAGAUGGACUUGGUAUGAUUAUGACCAGAGAUUAUUCGGUAUAAUCAUGACCGUAAUGUUACAAAUGAUGUGGUAAAAGUCCUCAUUGGCCCGUAGUCCAUUGACGGACAGUUGUUGGCAUGAUCAUGACCAUUGAUGAAUACACAAAUAUCAUUGCCCCGUAGUGCAUGGAUAAUGUGGCGACCCCAAAUCCGGAUACUUGAAACCCGAACUUGGUUCUCCACGAUACCAUUUCUUUAAGCUGAAUAAUACUAAAUAAUAAUAAUAAUAUAAUUCAAACUUAAUUUACAUACAUCAAAGUUUACUUUCCCAGGUACGUGACCUUCAAAUACAUUCCUUACAAUACCUGACAAUAGAUUCCAUUGUCUUACUAACUAUAACCAUUAACUCAUACUAAAUCUCAUUCGAAUAGCUUUUCUUUUCCCUUGUUCGUGCCUGAGCCUUCAGGUCGAUCGUACGUAACUGAAAACAUUUAGUUUAAGCAAGGAUGAGCAUUUGAGUGCCCAGCAAGUAAUAACAAUUAUAUAUAUAAGCUGAAAGAAUAUAAGUAUUCUCUUUNNNN
rnacentral:lncRNA from 1 species